AUCCUUUUAUAGUUCAUAGGCAUGAUUGGGUUUUCAUGUGCAGGUGUGAGAUAUGCCUCCCACAAAUCUUGUUACCACGUCAGCACAUUACCUGUCUGACG